CUAACCACACUAUACAUGGUAUAUAAUGUUUGCAUGAUCUAUCCUUCUUUUAUUAAUUACUAGGCAUGAUCUAACUCCUAAUAAUUAAUUGUCUGGAUAUGUAAUUAUUAUUAUUAUUAUUAUUAUUAUUUUUUUUGGAUAUGUAAUUAUUACUACCAUCAUUAUAAGUUUUGCACAUGCAUAAAACAAGUAUCUAUCAGCUUUCUGAAAAUCGAAUUUAACAGGUUCAAAUCAAUGUUAUGUUGAACAUCUUGCGCUAUCGCAAAGCAUGCCUUAACAACAAUGUCGACUGAUGAUAAUAAUAUGAAACAAC
rnacentral:lncRNA from 1 species